GGCAUUUUACACAAAGGUCUCUCACCAACAACAAUUGGAAGUUGCGGUUGGCUCUGUGACUGUGGCCAUGUUGCCAGAUGAAUGAGUCCACAUGGGUCUAAGUCUAAGCUCGAGGCCAGUAAGCUUGGAUAUAACCGCGUUAUGUAAACCCAUUUCAUACAUAUCGACGUUUUUACUUAUAGUCUGGAAAUUGCACACUUUUAGACAUGUGUGUCUUACAUUUACACACAUUGCGCUGCCACAAUAUAUACAUUUUUUUAGGCAAAUACCAGCAGCAGCAAAUUGUUGGCCUGUGCAACGAACAUGCUUUUGUUGAAAUGUCGCAAUUAAAAUGAAUGAUAACCAAUACAGACGAAAUAGGUUAAGGAACCAGUUGCUACCAUAACUGCAGAGCCUGUGUCACAGCCGCCAAGAUCGAUGGUCGAUUGUUACAUCUAACUGUUCCCUAACUAGUCGGCUAGCCGGCCAGGCCAACACACCAAAUGGCCCAGUUCGUGUCUAAUGCCAGUUUAAGCCAGCCACAUAAUAAAAUUUACAUAGAAAACACA
rnacentral:sRNA from 1 species